AGGGGAGAGAGGAAGGGAAAGAAGGGGGAGGAAUGGAGGAAAAGGAGAGAAGGGAAACUAUAAUUAGUGAUAUUUUGCUAUUGCCAGGAUUGAGAUCUGUCUCUCUUUUUCUCUCUCUCUCUGGUAUUUGGCUUGUUCCCCCUUUUCCCCCCUCCCUUCCUUUCCAAU